rnacentral:rRNA from 1 species
GACGAACGCUGGCGGCGUGCUUAACACAUGCAAGUCGAGCGGAAAGGCUCCUUCGGGGGUACUCGAGCGGCGAACGGGUGAGUAACACGUGAGUAAUCUGCCCUGUGCUCUGGGAUAGCCACCGGAAACGGUGAUUAAUACCGGAUACAACCACUAUCCGCAUGGGUUGGUGGUGGAAAGUUUCUUCGGCACAGGAUGUGCUCGCGGCCUAUCAGCUUGUUGGUGAGGUAAUGGCUCACCAAGGCUUUGACGGGUAGCCGGCCUGAGAGGGUGACCGGUCACACUGGGACUGAGACACGGCCCAGACUCCUACGGGAGGCAGCAGUGGGGAAUAUUGGACAAUGGGCGGAAGCCUGAUCCAGCAACGCCGCGUGAGGGAUGACGGCCUUCGGGUUGUAAACCUCUUUCAGUACCGACGAAGCGCAAGUGACGGUAGGUACAGAAGAAGGACCGGCCAACUACGUGCCAGCCGCCGCUGUAAUAC